rnacentral:rRNA from 1 species
AAUCAACGCUGGCGGCGUGCCUCAGACAUGCAAGUCGAACGAUUAAAGCUCUCUUCGGAGAGUGCAUAGAGUGGCGCACGGGUGAGUAACACGUAAGUAAUCUACCUUCGAGUGGGGAAUAACGUCCGGAAACGGACGCUAAUACCGCAUAAUGCAGCGGCAUCGCAAGAUGACAGUUGUUAAAGAUUUAUCGCUUGAAGAGGAGCUUGCGGCAGAUUAGCUAGUUGGUAAGGUAAUGGCUUACCAAGGCUACGAUCUGUAACCGGUCUUAGAGGACGGUCGGUCACACUGAAACUGAAUAACGGGUCAGACUCCUACGGGAGGCAGCAGUCGGGAAUUUUGGGCAAUGGGCGAAAGCUUGACCCAGCAACGCCGCGUGAAGGAUGAAGUAUUUCGGUAUGUAAACUUCGAAAGAAUGGGAAGAAUAAAUGACGGUACCAUUUAUAAGGUCCGGCUAACUACGUGCCAGCCGCCGCCGUAACAC